UCAGAGAAGUGAAAUUCUCUUCUCAAAGGUGUUGAGAACUGGCCCCGGCAGCCUCCCAAGCUUUAGUAAAAGAAGCAUGAAAUGGCUGUCAGAGAUGAAAUGCCUAUAAAAAUUUGUUAAACUGCAAAGACAGGAACUAUAUCUUUUUAGCUUUUACUCCAUAGCAUUGAACACAAAAAUACUUCUGGGCUGGGACCUUGAGCAGGGUAGCACGGGAGUGAAUUUGAUCCAGGCUACAGAAGGAUUUUGCUGGCUUUCUAAACUAUUGGGUAAAGAAAGCAGGUACAACCCAAGUCACCAGAGCUCAUAAAAGACGUGUGCACUGUCGCAUCUAUGUGAAGUAUUUCCAUGACCCGAGCAUUGACUACAGGACUGUGCUGGAGGAAGCUGGAUCAAGGUACCAAGCCUAUAUUCGUCUACUGUGGACAUCGUUUCCGUGCCAUGAAAUUUCCCUGGAAUCUGUAGGAGGCAAACCUGGGGUUAAAGCCUGAAUUUGCCAUUUAAUAAUGAGAAAAUCUUGGAAAAGUAAGUUAAACUUUUGUGGCCUGUUUUCUCACCCACACAAUGGAGAUAGUCU
rnacentral:lncRNA from 10 species